UACGGGGGGGGCAAGCGUUGUUCGGAAUUACUGGGCGUAAAGGGCUCGUAGGCGGCCCUCUCAGUCGGCUGUGAAAUCCCCAGGCUUAACCUGGGAAUGGCAUCCGAUACUGGAGGGCUUGAAUUCGGGAGAGGGAUGCAGAAUUCCAGGUGUAGCGGUGAAAUGCGUAGAUAUCUGGAGGAAUACCGGUGGCGAAGGCGGCAUCCUGGACCGAGAUUGACGCUGAGGAGCGAAAGCUAGGGGAGCAAACGGG
rnacentral:rRNA from 1 species